rnacentral:rRNA from 1 species
UGGGGAAAAUUGGACAAUGGGCGCAAGCCUGAUCCAGCCAUGCCGCGUGAGUGAUGAAGGCCCUAGGGUUGUAAAGCUCUUUCACCGGUGAAGAUAAUGACGGUAACCGGAGAAGAAGCCCCGGCUAACUUCGUGCCAGCAGCCGCGGUAAUACGAAGGGGGCUAGCGUUGUUCGGAUUUACUGGGCGUAAAGCGCACGUAGGCGGACUAUUAAGUCAGGGGUGAAAUCCCGGGGCUCAACCCCGGAACUGCCUUUGAUACUGGUAGUCUUGAGUUCGAGAGAGGUGAGUGGAAUUCCGAGUGUAGAGGUGAAAUUCGUAGAUAUUCGGAGGAACACCAGUGGCGAAGGCGGCUCACUGGCUCGAUACUGACGCUGAGGUGCGAAAGCGUGGGGAGCAAACAGG